CCUACGGGUGGCAGCAGUGAGGAAUAUUGGUCAAUGGGCGAGAGCCUGAACCAGCCAAGUCGCGUGAAGGAUGACGGCCCUACGGGUUGUAAACUUCUUUUUGCAGGGAGCUAUUGAGUCCACGUGUGGUCUUAGCGAGAGUACCUUAAGAAAAAGCAUCGGCUAACUCCGGGCCAGCAGCCGCGGUAAUACGGAGCAUGCGAGCGUUAUCCGGAUUUAUUGGGUUUAAAGGGUGGGUAGGCGGAAUAUCAAGUCAGCGGUAAAAAUUCGGGGCUCAACACAGUAGUGCCGUUGAAACUGAGGUUCUUGAGUGGGCGAGAAGUAUGUGGAAUGCGUGGUGUAGCGGUGAAAUGCAUAGAUAUCACGAGGAACUCCGAUUGCGAAGGCAGCAUACCGGCGCCCAACUGACGCUGAAGCACGAAAGCGUGGGUAUCGAACAGGAUUAGAUACCCGGGUAGUC
rnacentral:rRNA from 1 species